rnacentral:rRNA from 1 species
GACGAACCGUGCGAACGUUGUUCGGAAUCACUGGGCUUAAAGGGCGCGUAGGCGGGCGGUCAAGUCAGGGGUGAAAUCUUUCGGCUCAACCGGAAAAGUGCCUCUGAUACUGAUCGUCUUGAGGGAGGUAGGGGCAUGUGGAACUUCCGGUGGAGCGGUGAAAUGCGUAGAUAUCGGAAGGAACGCCGGUGGCGAAAGCGACGUGCUGGACCUCUUCUGACGCUGAGGCGCGAAAGCCAGGGGAGCAAACGGG